UAUUAAAUUAAAAUUUUUAUUUACUCGUUUCUGUUACUUUUCACAACACUGUAGCUACAUUGCUAACCAAAUACAUACUUGAGUUUGUACUGGCGUAGUUAUGUAUUUAUAUUUGAAGCGUGUGAACAGCUUUUUAUAGUGCAUUGUGUUUUGAGAAAUAACCAGCUGUUGCUUUUUUACUUCAUCAUCAUUCACCCAACACAGCAGAGGUCAAAGUUGACGGUUGUAUAUAUUUAAUUACUGUUACAAAUAUGUUUGUAUAUAUCAGCAUAAUAGAGAAAAACAGGGUCAAGGACCUAUUCUUGGCGCCGGGUAUGCACUAAAUUUCAAAUGACAUUGCAUCGAAUUACAGCGGCACAUUUAUAUACAAAACAUAACACAUACAUAUGUACACAUGUCGGUAGCUACGUGCUAACACCGCUUGCAAUAUGAAGAUGCAUAAUUUUAUGAUGUUUGCUGUACUAUGCAUACGCAAGCGCAACGCUGCAAAAUAAACGAAAAGCAAUUAAAACGGUUGUGAGGACGAGGCACAACAUUUUCACCACACACACCUUUUCCACACAGGUAGAAAAUGUGUGAAUUUCCCCACACACGCUGCAAACAUAACAACAACAAAAAUACUUAUAUACAUUCGUAUGCAUGCAAUACUCUCCCCUCGCUUUCAACGACUCGCUCACAAUGGAAGCAACAACAAAUUUAUGCAGCAAAAACGUUACCCUGCCGCCGGCGCGACGAAGUUAUUUCUUUUAGACGUUUUACAAGGUUUCGAAAAACCGAAUAUAGAAGUUUUGUAUUCUAAACGGUCGAAAUGGUUUAAUUUUCACAUCCACGCAUAGAGAGCUAUAACUCUGUGAGCAAUUAAUAAAAUUUUCACGGAGAGUCGAGGAGAAAAAGGGCACAUACAGUGUCGGACAAAACAAAAGCAAGUACAUCAAUACAUGGUUAAAAAAAACACUGGUUCCGGUCUGGUUUGUAAUAUAUUUAAUCUAUAGAUCACUGGUUCAAAAUUCGAGUAAUAUUAGGACAAAGGAUGGAAAUGGGUGAAAUCAAAUAAUAACCACGACCAAUAUAUACUGCUAUUGUUUAAAACUUUGAAAAGUGCCAAACCUCUAUAAGAUAAAUAUUAUUCCAGA